AACUUUAUAUAAAAGCAAGCCCUAUAUAUCGAUCAUAUAUGGCUGUUCAGUGCCAUUUUCUACCCCGUCACGUAAUAAACACAACGUCAUUGCGUUGUUGCAUACACGUGUGAAUAUCACACUGUGCGGAUGACAUGAGUCCGUACGAAUAAUGUUUUCAUUCGUACUGUGAUAAAUACAAUCAUACAUAAAGAAAUACAAUCGUACAGUGAAAUCUUUUUUCAAUCAUAUACCUUCUCAUGCAUGAUUGCAUUGUGCCACUUUUCACGCACCACACGUGUCGCCAUCACAUCGUGAGGGCAAUAUAAUUGUGGUAUUGCACGCACGUGUAAUAAUCACACCGUGAGGGUGACGUGAGCCCUCACAAUUUGUUAUCUGGGUACGGAAAAUCGUAUUUUAAAUAUAAUAGAUGGAAAGAAACAUCGGCAUGGAUGUUUCUUUCCAUGCCGAUGGAAAUCUUCCGAAUGCUGGUACCUGAAAUGCAGGAAAAAAGUUAUGAAAAAACAGCCGAGCAAAUAAAAUUGAAAUUUUAAAAAAUUUGAGAGUAGCAUAUUUCAAAUGUAAAAGAAAUAACAAUGUCAGUGGUGCUGCUCCCUCGACAUGUCCAUUCUACAACGAGUUAGAUAUAUUAUAUGAAGACAGACCAAGUCAUAGCUAGCAGCAGUAAUAAUCAAGUAGGAAUAGACACCGCUGAAAUAAAUGAGGAAGAAGGUAAUAUAUAUUCAUUUAAUGCAAUUAUAUAUAUAUAUAUAUAUAUAUAUAUAUGUAUAUAGUUAAGUAUAAAAAUACAAAUUGGUACCAUCAAUUAUUUGACCUAAUGUUAUUAUUUAUUUGAUUUUAGUUAAUGACAAGAAUGAUUCAACAAGAUGUACAACUGCUGAAGAGACUGAUGAAAUAUUAGGAAAGGAAAAUGAAGUACUACCGCCAGCCAAAAAACAGAAACGAAUAAAAACUUCUGGUAUAAAUAAAAUGCCAGAUAACACGUGGACGUCCAUAGGAUGUCCAAUGGAUGUCCACAUCUGGACAUUCGGACAUCCAUAGGAUGUCCAAUUACCGUGCGUCGGAUAUCCUAUGGAUGUCCAUGGGAUGUCCAUUAUGCACAACUUUGGACACCUCUGGGACAUUCAAUGCAGUGCAUAACGGACAUCCCAUGGACGUCCAUAUAACGGACCAUUUUUUGACAAUUGUGUACCUAUAAUUUGGACAGGAUUUAUAAUAAUAAAGUAAUUAAAAACAAUUAAUUUUUGUUAUACUUAUUUUAUUUAUUUAUAUUGUUAUAUUUAUAUAUUUAUAUAAACCUAUAUUUUACUGUAUUAAUAUUUUUUUUAUAAUUUUAUAUAUAUAUUAUAUCGUAUGUUUUUUAGAGUUUAUAAAGUUUGUAAUUUAUAUAAAAUCAUAAAAUUAAAGUUCAAACGUGGACAAAAAUUGGAUGUCCAUAAGAUGUCCGAAAAAGGAUAUCCAUUUAAUAUACAACAACGGACGUCCAUUAAAUGUCCAUUUUGCGUCCACGGACGUUCGGACGCAAAUUGGACUUAAACUGGAUGUCCAUAAGAUAUCCUGUGCUAUCUGGGUUUAUUAUUACAGCUUUAUUAAGUAUUUCUUUUUGAGAGAUUACAUCACGAUUGGCAAUCACGCACUACGCUAUUAGUCCCUAUUUUGAAGAUUUAUAAGAAUACCAAUGAUAUAAGGCUAGAGGAUAUGUAAUUACUAAUUUACAUUGUACAUACGUAUUAUAGUAUAAAAAUUUUAUAUUUAAGAAGAAAAAGUUAUGAAGUAAUGCUGCAGAGUUGUAUUGACAAGUGAUUGGAAAACCAAAAAGAAUUACUCAACAGCAUUACUAAUAGACAGAUGGAACUCCAAAAACCAAUGAUCCAUGACGAGAUGAUAGAGCAGAGAAAAUGGGAAGAAGAGGAGUUAGAAAGGGAACGAAAAUUUUAAAGUCAGCAAACAGGCUUGAUUCUGGUUGCAUUUACUAACAGUAUGCAGAGUAUCAGACCUCAAAUAUCUGCUCGUUUUACACAAAGCACCAUGAAGCCGCUGAAACUUAUUCCGUUAAAUUAUACAGAACCUCCUUCCACCUUUGCAAUCAUUCAAUCUCCUACUAAAGAAGGCAAGGAACCAAAGAAAAUACAAAACUUUUAUUAUGAAACAUAAUAACCAAAUUUAAAUAAUAUAAAACUUUGUUUGCAGUUCUAAAUUUAAAAUAUAUUACAGAUUAUUUUUAGCUAGAAGUUAUAAUGCCGUAUUCAUAAAAUGUUAAUUUUGUUUAAAAAGUACCUUUAUUGCUAUGUUAAUUUUGUUCAAAAAGUUGCUUUAUUAUAAUUUACUUUUUUAUUAAGUUAUAGGUACAAGAUAAAUUAAAAAUUAUAAGUUGUUUAUUAACUUAUAGUUUCUAAAGUUACUUUGUUUUUCUAUUGAUCUCAAAAUGCGAUAUUACUUAUGAUAAUUACUAUGACUGUGAAUUAGUGGUAGGUUUAUGAGACGAAUUUCGAAUGUUUUCUAAUGAAACAUAUGAUGUACUGUACACAUAUAAAAGCUGUAAUGUUAUAUACAAAAGAUGUACAAA
rnacentral:lncRNA from 1 species